CUGCCAACGUGACAAUGUGAAACACAUGAGAGUAAACGCUGCGGGGUAUAACUGUUCAUGCUGUUUAUUACAAAUGUUUUGUUAAAUAUUUCAACAUAACUUUACCUGUUUAUGUUUCUGUAUGUGCUAAAGAGGAACGCUUCGAAUUGCAGUCUUUUCUGUAUACGUUUUAUUUUAAAAGGGCUGUCAAAGUUGGGUUCUCUCAUCCUCUAGUCCAGCUAGGGGACGCUACUUGUGUUACGAACCAUCUGUCACCUCACUGUCUUUGAACACAUAUUAGCAGAUAUAUGGUCCAGCAAUUUAAUCGUAUGUACAAGAUCUCUCAACCUUAUAUGUUUUUCAAAGUAGCUGCAGUCCAGCACGUCAACUCAUUUGGGAAUCAGGUGUCAUCAGUCCAACUUUGGCCCCCUGUGUGGUGGAGCCAACUUUGCCCGUGCUUUGCAAUUCUCUUCAAGAAAGGACUGACAAAUCUGUUCAGUUUCCAUUUCAGUCCUGAACUGCUGACCGCAUCCUUUAUUUUUUCCCUGUUCCCUGUUGUCUUUUUGCAGUAUUCACAUUCAAGAUGCACUGUGUUCAGGUGUUCCCAUGAAAUCCUUGUUUAAUAAUAUAGAUACUAGAUUAUGCUUAAUAACUUUGUGUAUGAGUAUAUGAUGGCUAAAAAAUAAGUAUGUUUGUUUAAUCACCUAAGUCGGGCAUAUAAGUAAAACCAUGCAUCUUAAUUGAAUGUUAUGCUAACAGUUUAAAGAGCCAAUCCCCUUGACAAACUCUAGGUGGUCCUCUCAUAUGUAAAGGUCAUGCCUCGGUCAAAAGAGACCCCCGAGGAUGUCAGAAUGAGUGUUGUAAAUGCUCACCAGUCUGGAGAGGGUUAUAAAACCAUCGCCAAACGCUUCGGGAUUCAUCGGUCCACCGUACGACAAAUAGUCUACAAGUGGAAAAAAUUUAAGACAACAGAGACUCUACCUAGAUGUGGCCGUCCGACAAAGUUAUCCCAGAGAGCACUAAGGAAGAUCAUCCAGGAUGUGCAAAAGAACCCCAAGACCACAUCCAAGGAUCUGCAGGCCUCACUUGCUGCAGCUGAUGUCUACGUUCAUGACUCGACUAUACGACGCAGGCUGAAUAGCAGAGAUGUACAUCAAAGGUUAUCCAACAGGAAAGCUUCCCUCUCGAAGAAGAAUACUGACAUCAAGUUAGGAAAAACUUGCCAGCAUGACCUCAGCACAUGGGACAAGCAGGUAAAAGCUGGAGAAACCUUCCAAGAGUGUGGGCCGCUGGACCAGCCCAUCAACGUGCAAAACACCUGUGAUGAAGACCAAGAGAAACUUGCAAAACAAGGUCCUAACUCAAAAACGUAGAAGCCACAGGUGGAGUUAUAUAACAAGAUAUGAAAUUAAUGCCAUUGUGUAUCAGUGACUGAGGGAUGCAUUGUAUGACCCCUAAAGAUGCAAGUUGUCACAGUAAACAUUGUGCUUAACUUUGUUCCAAGUGUGUUAUUAGUAAAUCAAUCAAUUUAAGUGAA